GCACACACCAAAAAAUACCACAAACUUAAAUACCCUCUUACAACCCCAUCAGUGCCAAUCUAUAACAAUAUAGAAGAACUAAUGCUAGAACUAGUAACAAGAACCUAUCUCUACGCACAACUGAAAAUCAGUCACAGAAAACCUACUUGAAAAUUAACAGCCCAGU
rnacentral:rRNA from 1 species